CGUUCUUUCCGUUCUUUCCGUUCUUUCCGUUCUUUCCGUUCUUUCCGUUCUUUCCGUUCUUUCCGUUCUUUCCGUUCUUUCCGUUCUUUCCGUUCUUUCCGUUCUUUCCGUUCUUUCCGUUCUUUCCGUUCUUUCCGAACUGUCACCUAAUUUUCUGCCCUAUGUUUCUGUCUCUGUGGAGGUUCUUUUUGUUCUUUCCGUUCUUUCCGUUCUUUUUGUUGUUUUUGAACUGUCACCUAAUUUUCUGCGCUAUGUUUCUGUCUCUGUGGAGGUUCUUUUUGUUCUUUCCGUUGUUUCCGUUGUUGGUCUUGACAUGUCACUUAAUUUUCUGCCCUAUGUUUCUGUCUCUGUGGAGGUUCUUUCCGUUCUUUCCGUUCGUUCUGUUGUUGUUUUUGAACUGUCACCUAAUUUUCUGCCCUAUGUUUCUGUCUCUGUGGAGGUUCUUUCCGUUCUUUCCGUUCUUUUUGUUGUUUUUGAACUGUCACCUAAUUUUCUGCCCUAUGUUUCUGUCUCUGUGGAGGUUCUUUGCGUUCUUUGCGUUCUUUGCGUUCUUUGCGUUCUUUCCGUUCUUUCCGUUCUUUUUGUUGUUUUUGAACUGUCACCUAAUUUUCUGCCCUAUGUUUCUGUCUCUGUUGAGGUUCUGUCCGUUCUGUCCGUUCUGUCCGUUCUGUCCGUUCUGUCCGUUGUUGUUUUUGAACUGUCACCUAGUUCUCUGCCGUUUGUUUCUGUCUCUGUGGAGGUUCCUUCCGUUCUUUCCGUUCUUUCCGUUCUUUCCGUUCUUUCCGUUCUUUCCGUUCUUUCCGUUCUUUCCGUUCUUUCCGUUCUUUCCGUUCUUUCCGUUCUUUCCGUUCUUUCCGUUCUUUCCGUUCUUUCUGUUGUUGUUUUUGAACUGUCACCUAAUUUUCUGCCCUAUGUUUCUGUCUCUGUGGAGGUUCUUUCCGUUCUUUCCGUUCUUUCCGUUCUUUCUGUUGUUGUUUUUGAACUGUCACCUAAUUUUAUGCCCUAUGUUUCUGUCUCUGUGGAGGUUUUUUCCGUUCUUUCCGUUGUUUCCAUUGUUUAAUGUUGUUUCCAUUGUUUCCGUUGUUUCAGUUGUUUCAGUUGUUUCCGUUGUUUCCGUUGUUUUUGUUGUUUCUGUUGUUUCCGUUGUUUCAGUUGUUUCAGUUGUUUCCGUUGUUUCCGUUGUUUUUGUUGUUUCUGUUGUUUCCGUUGUUUCUGUUCUUGUUAUUGACCUGUCACCUAAUUUUCUGGCGUAUGUUUCUGUCUCUGUGAAGGUUAUCUCCGUUAUUUCCGUUAUUUCCGUUACUUCCGUUAUUUCCGUUAUUUCCGUUAUUUCCAUUAUUUCCGUUGUUAUUUUUGACCUGUCACCUAAUUUUCUGCCGUAUGAUUCUGUCUCUGUGGAGGUUAUUUCCGUUAUUUCCGUUAUUUACACUAUUUCCACUAUUUCCUUUAUUUCCGUUAUUUACGUUGUUGAUCUUUUCCUGUCACGUAAUUUUCUGCCGUAUGUUUCUGUUUCUGUGGACGUUAUUUCCGUUAUUUCGUUUUUUUCCGUUAUUUCUGUUAUUUCCGCUAUUUCCGUUUUUUUUUGUUAUUUCCUUUAUUUCCGUGAUUACCGUUGUUGUUUUUGCCCUGUCACCUAAUUUUCUGCCGUAUGUUUCUG
ensembl:lncRNA